rnacentral:rRNA from 1 species
UACGGAGGGGGCGAGCGUUAUUCGGAAUUAUUGGGCGUAAAGGGCGCGUAGGCGGCCCUGCAAGUCAAAGGUGAAAUCCCUCGGCUCAACUGAGGAACUGCCUUUGAAACUGCGGGGCUUGAGGCCGGGAGGGGGUAGCGGAAUUCCCGGUGUAGUGGUGAAAUGCGUAGAUAUCGGGAGGAACACCAGUGGCGAAGGCGGCUUCCUGGCCUGUUCUUGACGCUGAGGAGCGAAAGCGUGGGGAGCGAACAGG